GACGAACGCUGGCGGCGUGCUUAACACAUGCAAGUCGAACGGAGUGGCGAACGGGUGAGUAACACGUGGGUGAUCUGCCUUGCACUUCGGGUUAAGCUUGGGAAACUGGGUCUAAUACCGGAUAGUGCAAGAUGGGCGCGCGGCCUAUCGGCUUGUUGGUGGGGUAAUGGCCUACCAAGGCGUCGACGGGUAGCCGGCCUGAGGGGGUGUACGGCCACAUUGGGACUGAGAUACGGCCCAGACUGCAACUGGAGGCAGCAGUGGAGAAUAUUGCACAAUGGGCGGAAGCCUGAUGCAGCGGCGCCGCAUGGGGGAUGAAGGCCUUCGGGUUGUAAACUCCUUUCGACAGGGACGCGGUACCUGUAUAGGAAGCACCGGCUAACUACGUGCCAGCCGCCGCGGUAAUUC
rnacentral:rRNA from 1 species